CCCAGUUCGGAUUGAAGGCUGAAAUUCGCCUUCAUGAAGCCGGAAUUGCUAGUAAUGGCAGGUCAGCAUACUGCCGUGAAUACGUUCCCGGGCCUUGUACACACCGCCCGUCAAGCCAUGGAAGCCGGGGGGUGCCUGAAGUGCGUGACCGCAAGGAGCGCCCUAAGGUAAAACCGGUGACUGGGGCUAAGUCGUAACAAGGUAGC
rnacentral:rRNA from 1 species